AUUGAACGCUGGCGGCAGGCCUAACACAUGCAAGUCGAACGAGUGGCGGACGGGUGAGUAAUGCCUAGGAAUCUGCCCGGUAGUGGGGGAUAACGUCCGGAAACGGGCGCUAAUACCGCAUACCAUCAGAUGUGCCCAGAUGGGAUUAGCUUGUUGGUGGGGUAACGGCUCACCAAGGCGACGAUCCCUAGCUGGUCUGAGAGGCUGACCAGCCACACUGGAACUGAGACACGGUCCAGACUCCUACGGGAGGCAGCAGUGGGGAAUAUUGCACAAUGGGCGCAAGCCUGAUGCAGCCAUGCCGCGUGUAUGAAGAAGGCCUUCGGGUUGUAAAGUACUUUCAGCGGGGAGGCGUUACCCGCAGAAGAAGCACCGGCUAACUCCGUGCCAGCCGCCGCGGUAAUAC
rnacentral:rRNA from 1 species